GGGUUAUAGCUCAGCUGGGAGAGCGCCUGCCUUACAAGCAGGGGGUCACUGGUUCGAACCCGGUAUCGCCCACCA
rnacentral:tRNA from 2 species